rnacentral:lncRNA from 1 species
AUAAUUAUGUUUUGGGACUCCAAUAUUAAUUUCACAAAGUGAUUGAUUUUAAUUUCACUUUUUCAGUGAAUAAACACAAAUUAUAUUGGACAAGAUUCCAAUCUGAAGAUGAAUAAGGCUUAGUUCCACACCGCUGAGAGCUAAAAGGACAGAAAAGUUUGUUGCAGUCUACAUGCCAGUCUUAGAGGAAUGAAUACUGUUAAGCCAAUUGAAAAGGACUGUUCUCCUUGAGGGCGAGUGAAUAUUUAAUAACUACUCAGCAUGUUUUUCACAAACGUAAGUUUAAAAAUAAAUCUUUAUUAUACUUUUAUAAUGUUCUAG